CUUGUGAAGCUCCCAAAAUUUGGCAACUGCCAGGUACAGAUUAGUGAAGAGCCACGCCUUUUGAGCCUCUCUGACCUAACGUCAGCAUUUCAGGAAUCUGCUCCUCUAGAGUCGCGUCUGGAGGGACUGAAACAGAAACUAGACGGCUUAGUGGAAGAAGAAGCUGAGUGUGAGAAUGUCUUUUCGGAUAUAUCCUCGUCAGAUAGUGUUACCGACUGUAUAAUUUAUUAUAACACCAGUUGUCAACAAUGUCGCAAUGGCUUGGCAGCUACAAGUAAUGCAGCGUCGAAGCCUGAAGCUGCAUUAGUAGCCUGCAAGACGCGAGGGGGACUGGUACACCCGAACACUUGCCUGUUUAUGUUCUUAACGGAAGUUGAAGCAAUAUUUUGCAAACAUGCUGAAGAAAAGCACGCAUAUGACAUGACAAUAGACUAUGUAGUAGAAAAUUCCAUAUUAUCAUUUCCCUGUCAUGAGCACAAGGUGGAUGUUAUGUCGAAAGUGCUUCAUUAUUAUGUUGGAGUCAGGAUGAGGCAGUACUGUAAGCAACUGCGGAAGGUUGAAGCAGACAAGACGCAGAAGCUACGAAAGCUUUCGAAGCUUGUCUAGUGUGUUGUGGCUUUUAUCCUGUCAAUGCAUGUUGUGCUGGUACAGAUGAUGCACUGUCGAAUGAAUAAAGUGUUUUUUUUUUCUUUUU